GAUGAAGAACGUAGCAAAAUGCGAUAAGUAGUGUGAAUUGCAGAAUUCAGUGAAUCAUCGAAUCUUUGAACGCACAUUGCGCCCGCCAGUAUUCUGGCGGGCAUGCCUGUUCGAGCGUCAUUACAACCCUCAGGCCCCCGGGCCUGGCGUUGGGGAUCGGCGGAGCCCCCCGUGGGCACACGCCGUCCCCCAAAUGCAGUGGCGGUCCCGCCGCAGCUUCCAUCGCGUAGUAGCUAACACCUCGCGACUGGAGAGCGGCGCGGCCACGCCGUAAAACACCCAACUCUUCUGAAGUUGACCUCGAAUCAGGUUGGAAUACCCGCUGAACUUAAGCAUAUCAAUAAGCGGAGGA
rnacentral:misc_RNA from 1 species